UACGUAGGGUGCAAGCGUUGUCCGGAAUUAUUGGGCGUAAAGAGCUCGUAGGCGGUUUGUUGCGUCGGCUGUGAAAUCCCGAGGCUCAACCUCGGGUCUGCAGUCGAUACGAGCAAACUAGAGUGUUGCAGGGGAGACUGGAAUUCCUGGUGGAGCGGUGAAAUGCGCAGAUAUCAGGAGGAACACCGGUGGCGAAGGCGGGUCUCUGGGCAACAACUGACGCUGAGGAGCGAAAGCGUGGGGAGCCAACAGG
rnacentral:rRNA from 1 species